AUUAUUGUCUCCCGACGGAAAACUUUACACCACACCAGAAUGCAGCCAUGUCUCCUGAAACUACCUCCACACAUUCUGUCUAUUAGAACUUCAUUUGUGUUUAACAAGCCCCUCUUUUAAAAUGCAAAUUUGCCUUGUGAACCUGUAAACCUCAUUCACACCUUAUUGUUAAUUACUUUGAUGUUCUAGAAUAUGAUCAACACUUAACUGAUAUUGGCAAUCUAGGAAUGAACAAAU
rnacentral:lncRNA from 1 species